CAAUUCCAAACUCGUUGGUUCACAUAUGUGUCAUCGUCCAUUUACAGCUGUGAAACACUUGUUCUCGCCCUGUUUGCUUGAUGUAUGGCCUAAUCGUAUUUAGACUUUGAUGUCCCACCAUGUGAUUUGUUUUGCAAAUAACUAUCCACGCAAGCAAACCAGCCCUUUGCAUCUCCACUAAUGGAUCCAACUAAUGCUGUAUUGACUGAAUACAGAGUGGGGACAAAUUUACAAGCAAACAUGUAAUGAGCAGCUACAUAAAUUCUUCUCCUGCCCCCACCCAGCCUUAAUUAGCAGGGGCCACCCCUCAACACUUAUGAUGUUCUGUUGUGGCCUUGUUAUCUCCUAGUCUUACUUCACUCAAUAACAAAUUAGCCGCUCUUGUUUAGAAGGACUAGCUAUAUAAAUAGAGACAUGGGUAACUGUUUAAACGGAGCGCCUGCUGAUAUAGAGCCAAGCUCGAGAACAAGCCAUUCAAAUCAAAAUGGCCCAAGACAGUCCCAGGCUACUGUCUCCAGCAGUAGAUUAUCUUCAUCAAAGAAAUCAUCCACACAUAAACUAGAGACGGAGUCAA